UAUUCCAGGGGUUGGAUUAAAACACUAACUACAGGAAAAUGCUUCUGUACAUAACAGAUAUGCUGAUGGGGACCAGGCAAGGUGUGUGCUAUAUCCAAGUACUUAGGAUAGUCUCUUGCACUCCAUUGAAGUAAACUGACUUUUUCACCUCAAGGAUAUUCCAAUUGACAAAAGGGCCUUGGUUCAAAUGUCUGGGAUCAACUGAAUACAUUUAUUUAAAAGCGACUUUAAAUAUUAAAAAAGUAGAAAUUAACACAUACAGUACUCAAACUGUCACAUUAAAUACAUGUGAAGAGACAAGUGUACUGAUGUUUGACCUUAACAUUCAAAUAAGAAGUCAAGAUUUUAACUAGUGGCACUACCAGAGCUGAUUUCUAUACAACACGUCAAUGUACUAUGUAAUAAAAAAAUAAAUAGCAACUGCUGUUCAACAGUAAAUAAGACAUCAUUUGCAGAACAUACUUCCCCCUCCUGGGGCAAAAAAACUAAUUAGCUAUUUGUCCAUAAAGAUCUAGACUUUCUCCAAUACCAUGUCAUGUACAAAAUUGCAGAGUGGCUCAUUGAGUUUAAAUAAUACUGUACUUAAACUCAAUCAAUAUCAUACAACGUGUUUUUCAGGUUUCCUAUGACCCAUGAUAAGCCAGAAUAAACAGAACUCUUGUUCCUGAUGGAACUCAAUUUCAGUUUAAAAAAUGCAUGUAUACUACUGCAAAGAGCGUAGAAAAGAAUAGCAUUUGACUCAACAUCAUUUUACAUGUCCAAGUUUCUUUAUACAUUUUGCUUUUACCAGCUCAUUUUGAGAUCACUUAAAAAUACACUUGACCACAAAAAGUAAAUAGUUUUUGUUCUUUAAUGCAACUUAAAACAUUGUAUUAAUGGAUAAAAUGGAAUGCAAAAUAAACUCCGGGCCUGACUUCCUUCCAGAAAAAGUAUGAGUCUGAAAUACUGCAGGUAAUGCUGUGGGAAAAAUGCCAGCAAGCUUGGUUGCACUGUGCCCUGUUUUUUUUUUUUUUUCCUUUUCUUGUUUUUUUAAGAAUAAACUUUUUUUUUUGUCAUAGAUGAAUCAGCAAUUGUUUAAAAGCCACUUUCCAAUAACAGUUCCAAUAUUUUGCAAUUAUCAUGCAGGUUUUAUUAGUCUGAUAUUUAAAUUUUCCAUAUUAGCCACAUCAAUAAGAUUAAAUAUUCACUGACUACAGCUUUGUCAAACUGCUCUAAAAAUGAAAGCUUUCAGAAAAUGUGCAUUGUGCUUUUAUGAAAUGAAGAAUUCUCCUGGGUAGCCAAGAUGAUCUAUGAAAUAAUGCAAGUUAUAUCUGUUAUUGUGCCGAAGUGACAUCCAUCUUAAGAAAUGCACCAGGCCUAUAUAUGAAAAGCAUGGAACCUGACAAAAACGGUUUAUGAAGAAAAACAAUUGUGUGUUAAAAUGUAAUAUACUGUAGAAAAUGAGAAAAAUUAAUGGAGUUGUAUUUUAAUAGUGUGUUAGAUGUUUUGAAUAGAGGAAGAAAAUGAGAGAGUUAAUUAAGUGCAAGGAAUGUGUUUUCAGGCAAUGCAAUUUCAUACUUCUGAAGCUACCAGGGGUCAAAUGCAACCCUCAAAAGACUAUUAGAAAUUUAACAUUAUAAUAAUGUGUUUGCUGGCUGAUGCCUGGAGGUAAGACUAUAGACCACAAUUUUGGUUUAAUGAAGACUAUUAAAACAACUUGAUAUUGGUGAUUUGGGUUUCUAUCAUCAAUAGCAGAAAAAGGGCAAUUUUCACUCUGAUUUUUUUGAAAAAAAAUAUCUACAACACUGAGUUUGCCAAAUAACACACCACUUACAAAGUUUUACAUUAGCUAAUUAUAACCUUCAACGAUGUUGAAGCCGUUUUUAAAUGACAAUGUUCAGACAGCCAAUUAGCUAUAAACUAAUACUGUUGCAGGCUCGCAUUUCAAUGUGAACAGUGAUAAAAUUGAAAUGCUCUCUUGUUCAAACUUAGCUAUGUGACUACAGUACUAUUCAUGUACAAAGGCAGGUUUUAAGUAAGCUUCUAAAUGCAUGCAUAAUGCCAAGAGUAAUACUUUCUAGAAGUUAAAUGAAAGAAGGUUUACCAAAUUCCACAUCUUUCUAAUGCAGGACAGUCUGACUCAUGUU